UUCAGUUUUGACUCUUUGUCUUAUUUAAAAUUUUUUUAUGAUUAAUAUUUGUUUUUACUAUAUGAUAAAACGUGAAUAGUAUUUUAUGCGUGAUUAAAUUUUUUUAGAUUUCUACACAAAUCUUUUAAAUAAGACAAAUAAUUAAACACUGGGCACGAAAA
rnacentral:pre_miRNA from 1 species